rnacentral:rRNA from 1 species
AGCUCCAAUAGCGUAUAUUAAAGUUGUUGCGGUUAAAAAGCUCGUAGUUGGAUUUCUGCAUGGAAGGAGCGGUCCACCCAUUGGGCGCGUACGGCUACCUUUGAUGCAUCUUUCUGAGGACGUGUUCUUCACUUAAUUGUGAGGGCGCAGGACUCAGGACAUUUACUUUGAGGAAAUGAGAGUGUUUCAAGCAGGCAAAUGCCUUGAAUACGUUAGCAUGGAAUAAUAGCAUCGGACCAUCGUCCAGCUGUUGGUGUCUGGGCGAAGGUAAAGGUGAAUAGGGAUUGUUGGGGGCAUUCGUAUUUAACUGUCAGAGGUGAAAUUCUUGGAUUUGUUGAAGACGGACCACUGCGAAAGCAUCUGCCAAAGAUGUUC